rnacentral:rRNA from 1 species
UAAUACGAAGGGGGCUAGCGUUGUUCGGAAUUACUGGGCGUAAAGCGCGCGUAGGCGGUGAUCUUUGUCAGAGGUGAAAGCCUGGGGCUCAACCCCAGAAUUGCCUUUGAAACGGGAUCGCUAGAGUCCGAGAGAGGAUGGCGGAAUUCCUAGUGUAGAGGUGAAAUUCGUAGAUAUUAGGAAGAACACCGGUGGCGAAGGCGGCCAUCUGGCUCGGUACUGACGCUCAGGCGCGAAAGCGUGGGGAGCAAACAGG